GUUCCCCACUCCCCCCACUCUCCCUCGUUCCCUCGCGCCGUCACCCAUCACACACACACAUACGCACAGGGGAGGGGCGCAUCUGUUCGGUCUCCCUCCCCCCGACGCGCCCGCACCCGAAGGCUGCAACUAGCCGGCGUCGAGCGCCGCCUCUCCCGACCAUCGUCCUCGCGCCGCCGCUAACUAGCGCUGCCAUGCCCAACUGCUUCGCCUGCCCCGUCCUCGUCGACUGCAAGCAACGGAUCGAGACCCGAUCCACUACAACCUCGACACCGACUGCUUCUUCCCGGCGGCCGUCGUCUCCAUUGCCGGUCGAUCUCCCUCAGCGCCUCCCCAACCUCGCCGAGCUUGUCCAUGGCCUCCUCGGGACCCCGAGACCGAUGAUGCCGCUGUGAUCGACUACUUCACCGACGAACCCUACUUCUUGUCUGAGCAACCAGAUGACGGAUCCCAAGAGCCAGACGACGCCACUGAUGACUACUACUACCCGGAGGAUGCCUACUGCUAAGUGAAGACCGCAGACGAUUAGGAGUAGUAGGAGGCUCCCAGGCAGGAGGCCUCGCCUUUUCGAUCGUUGUUGCUUUUGUGCUAGCCUUCUUAAGGCAAACUUGUCUAACUUAUGUCUGCACUC